rnacentral:lncRNA from 1 species
UCCUGGGUUCAAGUGAUUCUCCUGCCUCAGCCUCCUGAGUAGCUGGGAUUACAGGUAUGCACCAACACACCUGGCUAAUUUUUUAUUUUUAGUAGAGACAAGGUUUCACCAUGUUGGCCAGGCUGGUCUCAAACUCCUGACCUCAGGUGAUCCAUCUGCUGCCACACAGCUUACAAGGGCAUUCCCAAGCAGGCAAGUGGCUCUUUAAACCCUUGUGUUGGCAUUGCAUUCCUGUGUCAUCACAUCCAGAUCCUGGGCAGGCAUGAAACACCUCCAGCUACUCCCAGCUGCACCAUCCCACAGUCUCUUGGGAGUCCAUGGGAGCUGUGCCCAUUCCCUGGCCAUCCCUCAGACCCACCUUCCACUUGGUUCCCUGUCA